CUUAAAAGUUAAAACUCAAAGCACUUCUUUUUGCCAAUAACAUGGUCUAAGUUUGUGAUCAUUAUAUGCUUCAGAAUCUUCGCCUGAGCCUUCUGCCGAGCACAACCUGGGAGUUCUUUUGGCACCAGAGAAUGACAUUGGGAAGAACUCCUUUAUUUUCAGUAUGGAGAUCAGGACAUGUUAUGCAAUUGGCAGUUAGAUUACGAAGAAGAACCUAGCACACGUUCUUCAACAAAGAAGAGAAAAUCUUCGUCAAAAAAGUCAAGUAAGAAGCUAAAGGAAAAUGGGGAACGUGGAGAAUGACUCUAGAAAAGAAAACAGAAAAAAGAAGAGAAGAAAGAAAAAAACAUACCAAGUUGAUGCGAGGUUUCUUACAAAAUGGAAUGCUUAGGGAUUGUAAUUUGAUCAGUGGUUUGAAAGUGAAGGAACAAGGCAGCAUAAGCGUAAAAGCAAAAUUUGAGUCCAAUGUUGUCACACGACCCAAGGUGCGAGCUUUUUGCAUGCCCAUGGUAACGUGCCUUUAGUGUUUUUAAGAUCAGGAAUCAUAUACAAUAUUUUUUGAAAGGGUUAAUGGUGACUUUAGUCUCUUAAAACACUAUUAAUCCUUUAUUAAGUUUAUUUAUAUGUUGUCGUCUGUCCAAUUUUGUUAGAGAAGUGAAGAUACCAACUCUAGAGACCAAAAACCAAUGUAAAGAGAAAUAGAUGAGAUUAUGAAAGAAAAUGAGUAAACAAGGGUAUGCUAAUGCCGUAUUAUUUUCCCCGUCAUGAAUGCAAUAAUUUAGUUUUCUCUAUUCCAUAAUGCUGUAAGAUUUGUCUUAGUGUUUGUUUGGUGUACCUUCAAAAUAAAUCUCU